CAGCCGCCGCGGUAAUACGAAGGGGGCUAGCGUUGUUCGGAAUUACUGGGCGUAAAGGGCGCGUAGGCGGCCAUUCAAGUUAGAUGUGAAAGCCCUGGGCUCAACCUAGGAAUUGCAUUUGAUACUGUUUGGCUUGAGUUCGGGAGAGGUGAGUGGAAUUCCCAGUGUAGAGGUGAAAUUCGUAGAUAUUGGGAAGAACACCAGUGGCGAAGGCGGCUCACUGGACCGACACUGACGCUGAGGCGCGAAAGCGUGGGGAGCAAACAGGAUUAGAUACCCCUGUAGUCCCUGUCUCUUAUAA
rnacentral:rRNA from 1 species